UACGAAGGGGGCUAGCGUUGCUCGGAAUCACUGGGCGUAAAGGGUGCGUAGGCGGGUCUUUAAGUCAGAGGUGAAAUCCUGGAGCUCAACUCCAGAACUGCCUUUGAUACUGAGGAUCUUGAGUUCGGGAGAGGUGAGUGGAACUGCGAGUGUAGAGGUGAAAUUCGUAGAUAUUCGCAAGAACACCAGUGGCGAAGGCGGCUCACUGGCCCGGAACUGACGCUGAGGUGCGAAAGCGUGGGGAGCAAACAGG
rnacentral:rRNA from 1 species